CGCGUAUAGAACUUACCUUUUACAGGGGGAUAGCCUUUAGAAAUGAAGAUUAAUAUCCCAUAGUAUUGAGAACUGGCAUCGGUUUUUAAUUAAAGAUUUAUCGGUUAAAGAUGGCUAUGCGUCCUAUUAGCUAGAUGGUAAGGUAAUGGCUUACCAUGGCAACGAUAGGUAGGGGCCCUGAGAGGGGGAUCCCCCACACUGGUACUGAGACACGGACCAGACUCCUACGGGAGGCAGCAGUGAGGAAUAUUGGGCAAUGGAGGCAACUCUGACCCAGCCAUGCCGCGUGCAGGAAGACUGCCCUAUGGGUUGUAAACUGCUUUUAUACAGGAAGAAACACUCGUACGUGUACGAGCUUGACGGUACUGUAAGAAUAAGGACCGGCUAACUCCGUGCCAGCAGCCGCGGUAAUACGGAGGGUCCGAGCGUUAUCCGGAAUCAUUGGGUUUAAAGGGUCCGCAGGCGGUCAAUUAAGUCAGAGGUGAAAUCCCAUAGCUUAACUAUGGAACUGCCUUUGAUACUGGUUGACUUGAGUUAUAUGGAAGUAGAUAGAAUGUGUAGUGUAGCGGUGAAAUGCAUAGAUAUUACACAGAAUACCGAUUGCGAAGGCAGUCUACUACGUAUAUACUGACGCUCAUGGACGAAAGCGUGGGGAGCGAACAGGAUUAGAUACCCUGGUAGUCCACGCCGUAAACGAUGGACACUAGUUGUUGGGAUUUAUCUCAGUGACUAAGCGAAAGUGAUAAGUGUCCCACCUGGGGAGUACGAUCGCAAGAUUGAAACUCAAAGGAAUUGACGGGGGCCCGCACAAGCGGUGGAGCAUGUGGUUUAAUUCGAUGAUACGCGAGGAACCUUACCAGGGCUUAAAUGUAGUCUGACAGCUUUAGAGAUAGAGUUUUCUUCGGACAGAUUACAAGGUGCUGCAUGGUUGUCGUCAGCUCGUGCCGUGAGGUGUCAGGUUAAGUCCUAUAACGAGCGCAACCCUUGUCGUUAGUUGCCAGCAUGUAAAGAUGGGGACUCUAACGAGACUGCCGGUGCAAACCGAGAGGAAGGUGGGGAUGACGUCAAAUCAUCACGGCCCUUACGUCCUGGGCCACACACGUGCUACAAUGGUAUGGACAAUGAGCAGCCAUCUGGCAACAGAGAGCAAAUCU
rnacentral:rRNA from 1 species